UGGGAGGAAAUGCUGUAGAUUAAUACUCUGCAAUGUUGACGUUACCGGCAGAAUAAGCACCGGCUAACUUUGUACCAGCAGCCGCGGUAAACAGAGGGUGCAAGCGUUAAUCGGAAUUACUGGGCGUAAAGCGAGCGUAGGUGGUUUGUUAAGUCGGAUGUGAAAUCCCCGGGCUCAACCUGGGAACUGCAUUCAAAACUGCCUGACUAGAGUAUGGUAGAGGGUGGUGGAAUUUCCUGUGUAGCGGUGAAAUGCGUAGAUAUAGGAAGGAACACCAGUGGCGAAGGCGACCACCUGGACUAACACUGACA
rnacentral:rRNA from 1 species